CUAUGGUACCAAGUUCACCUU
rnacentral:siRNA from 1 species